CCUACGGGAGGCAGCAGUCGAGAAUCAUUCACAAUGGGGGAAACCCUGAUGGAGCGACGCCGCGUGGGGGAAUGAAGGUCUGCGGAUUGUAAACCCCUGUCAUGAGGGAGCAAAUUCAAAAGAUAGUACCACAAGAGGAAGAGACGGCUAACUCUGUGCCAGCAGCCGCGGUAAUACAGAGGUCUCAAGCGUUGUGCGGAAUCACUGGGCGUAAAGUGUGCGUAGGCUGUUUCGUAAGGCGUGUGUGAAAGGCCCGGGCUCAACCCGCGGACGGCACAUGAUACUGCGAGACUAGAGUAAUGGAGGGGGAACCGGAAUUCUCGGUGUAGCCGUGAAAUGCGUAGAUAUCGAGAGGAACACUCGUGGCGAAGGCGGGUUCCUGGACAUUAACUGACGCUGAGGCACGAAGGCCAGGGGAGCGAAAAGGAUUAGAUACCCUAGUAGUC
rnacentral:rRNA from 1 species